CAGCUUGAAUUUGUUGCCUACA
rnacentral:miRNA from 10 species